UGGCGGGGAGGGUUCCUGGCACCGUGAUUUGAUGCACAAAGACAAACAAAAAUCACAUUGCCAGGGAUUUCCACCCUUUC
rnacentral:pre_miRNA from 13 species